GCUUUGACAUCCUUGACAUAAACCAUGAGAAACUAUUCCACAACAUGAACAAUGCCAAAAUCAAAAUAAACCACCUUUAUUAUAUUGAAUCAUUUGACAGAUGCUUGAGGAGAAUAUAGCAAAUAUGCUUGCAGAUAAAAACAACAGCACAGAGAGGAUGAUAGUUAUUAAAUGUAGUGGAAUCACCACGUGCUCAUCUUCUCAGUGUUACAAUAAGAGAUGCAGUAAAACUUCUAAUUUCAAGGGAAUUCAUGAACAAAAUGCAAUUCAAUGCAGAGUUUAAAAACAUUAAACAAUAACAUAUGGGCCACUGAUAUGCUGUAAUGUCAGCAGUGCAGUCAGUUUCAAAGGCUUUGAUUGUGUUUCAAGAAAAAGACAAAGAAGUAUAUGGAAAUAGAUGAGAAUAAUAAUAAACGUAGCAAUUCCAAUAUGGUGCUCUCACCAUCGGUGCUCGGGCCCUAGUUAUGUCCCCCCUGCGAGGUGUGUAGUGCCUUCUAGACUAUCAAUAGGCAGAAAUGUUCAUUGUGUGUGUCGCAAAUUUACUUUAGGAUAUGAACAUAAUGCAAGUCCAAGGACUUUGAAUAGAAAUCUCAUGUUAGUUGGAAUUCAUUUUAGUUGCAGACUAAUAGGGUGCUCCAAACAUUCACUCUCAUAAAAAAAAUGCAAACAUUUUACUUUAAAUGGUACAACAGCUUGUCACUGGAGUACUUUUAAAAGGACAACUUUGUAGAUUCAGAGUAAUACCUUAAGGUACCUAUAUUGCUACUCUAAGGUACAAACAUGCACCUUUAGGGGUAAAAAAGGUACAAAUAUGUCUUUUAAUGGUACUACCCCAGUGACCCCUAAAGGUCUUCUGAGAGAGCUCAAAAGUGGUGGAAAAGUCCAUUAAUGAAAUACUGAAAUCCUUGAAAAGGAACAAACUUUUUCUUGGGUUAAGCUCAGUAUGGGGCAUUUCACAUCUGUAACCCAGAUUAGUUAUUAGCAUUGUAACUUCCUGUUUGUUGCUCAACUCCUAUGUUUCACAGAGUAAGGAGAGAAUCAGACUGUCUCUGCUACCAUGAAUGCUCUUUUGAUGCUUUCCUUUUUCCUGCUUUUUCAGUUCAUAUGCAGAGUGGGAGCCGGUGAUCUGCAACAGAAAAUCUCACUGACCAAAGCAGAGGAAAAGUUAGCCAUUAUCGACUGUCACUACACUUCAUCAGACUGCAGGUACUACAUCCACUGGUAUCAGCAGAAAGAAGGAGAACCCUUGAAGAGGAUCCUUUAUGUUGACAUAGAUGAUGGAUCCGCACAAAAUGAUGCAGGUUUUGAGUCCAUAAAAUCAGAAAAGAAAACAUCGAAUCAUUUUGCUUUGAAAAUCACCAAGCUGAAAAAAGAGCAUUCAGCGAUGUAUUACUGUGCUUGCUGGAUCUGGAGCGGGAGUGGCACAGUACACAUAAAUACUAAAGUCUUGCACAAAAACUCUGCAAGGUUUCCUGUCAUAAUCAGAGACCACAAACCUUUCUUGAAAUAACAUAACAUUAAGACCAUGGGUUUAAUUCCCAAGGAAUUGGGAAUAAAAUGUACUAAUAAAUAAAUGUACUCAACUAAUAAAAUGUAUGUCUUGAUGCAAUUUAAGUUGUGUCAGCCAAAUUCAUAAAUAGAAAUGUUUCUAUUAUAUGUGUAGAAUGUUUCAUUUUAUUUAUUUCCUUAGCAGAAAUAAAGUAAACAGAUUUAGUU